AAGCCGAGUGGAUACUAUAAGAGCAUGAGCUUCGCAACUUUUUUCGCCGGAAUGAGGCAGGCAUGGCUGAAUUGCAUAUCAUGGUACGGCACCCGACAAAAUGGGGUGCCGCACAAUGCACCCUCCACUCUCGCAGCUGUUGGCUCACGCACACACACAAAGCUACAACAAAAAACAAUAUGCGAACAGGUGCACAGAAAGCAAAGAAAGAUGUCGCGCAGCUAGAGGGAAAAUUCGAUACGAAAUAACUGUAAACAAACAAAACGUCCCUUUGCUUGUUGUUUUUGGGGAGGUUCUGCUUAUGCGUAGAAUGUACAUACGCAUACAUACAUACAGAUGUACAUACCCAGCGGACCAAAAAACGAUAGUAAAACGAAACUUACAUAAAAUGUUCGCGAACGGACUAAGAAAUGAUACAAAUCCGAGAGCGAUGACUGAAGUCUCGCUAAAUGUUCACAGAUGAACUCUGAAAAGAGCAUUUAGCGGAUGAGGAUUUCCCAAACACCCAGCAGUCAUCUAUCUUAGGCAAAAUAAAUAAGAUGUAUCCAAAAAAUGUACUUUAUUUUAAAUAAAGUUCAUCGCAAGACAGCGGAAAUUGUGGCUCUUCGCUUAGAAAUUUCAGAUACCAAGUCAAAGCUUUGUGAAACCCUUAUGAACCAUUCCAGAUAAUCGACUAACGGGACAGCUUUGAACAGAGUUUGCUGGAAGAGCGGGACUUUAAAAAUGGGAUCUCAGAGCUUUAGA
rnacentral:sRNA from 1 species